rnacentral:misc_RNA from 1 species
GUGAAUCAUCAAAUUUUUGAACGCAAAUUGCACUCUCCUCGGAGAGUAUGCGUGUUUGAGGUCCAGCCUAUAAAAUAUCGUCAUCGUUGCUGUUUCGUGGUGGCGUUUGUCUGUUAUUGGGUCAUCUUAAAUCAUUUUGCUUUAAGUGACUUAAAAUUUUCUUUUGGUUCUAUGAACGUUGCUAAGAUCUAUGUCUUUAAACGUUUAAGGUAUCGAUUUUUACUACACGUGACCAUCAUAUGGUAUCGCGUCCAUCAUCUUGGAUUAACUGACGUCAGUCAG